AAAUUGAAGCAAAUAUGUGUUUACUAUCUUUUUCAUUGCCAGUCUACAUUAUUUCUUAGGUAAUUUGGCCAUUUACCCAUGUUAAUGCCUCUAAAGGGACAACUUAUGGUUAAUGCUUGAAAUUUCUAUUGAGAGGUGUUAAGUUCAAAAUGUAAUUGCCGCUGUUUGGGGCUGAGGCGGAGGAAUUGAUUCGUGGGAAUGAGAACUACUCUCACUAAUGAAGUGCAAACUCACCUACAUAACAUUCUGAGCAUGGGCAAGUUUGUUUUAUAGACACAAAAUUACUUGACUAACACUGUAAAGUAUGGUUGUAUGGUUUUCUUGCCCAAAAAAGAAAAAGGAUAUCCAUUAUGCAUUAACUUGAUUUUAUCCACGUGUUCUCAAUGUUUAGAUAGUGAGAUUUGACAUUUUAAUUGUAAGGCAUCUAAUGAAUUCUGAGCUAGACAUUAUUGAGAAUGAGGCCAUCUGGUGCUAAAUUUUUGGUGCAAGGACUUACCGUAAGGGUUCUUACUUAUUGCCCCAGGGUUUACUUUCGAAAAUAUGGCAUAACUAGGCAUUUGAAGAUUUUGUUUAGAAGCUCAUAUUUCACAGCAGAUAUGAAAAGUGUGAGUAAGAACUCACAUUGGUAUAUAAUGUUACCUUAUUAGCUCUGUACUUAUUAUUAGUUUAAGUGUGAAAUGUGGACCAUUUGUUUUCUUAAUGAUAAUAUGUUGAUCUUGCUUGUGUAAUUUUCGAAAUUCUCGUCCACAUCUCUUUUGUAUAUUUUUUUACUCUACCGAAAAAAUAGCAACAAUACAAAGUACUGCUGCAUCAUGUGUUUUUUAUGCAUUGGAGUUGCAGG
rnacentral:misc_RNA from 1 species